rnacentral:rRNA from 1 species
GAUUUCUGGCGAGAUAUAUCUGGCCGGCCACGGUUUCGUGUGUUAGUGCUUGAUAUUCUAGCCAUCCUUCCAAUGGCUAUUCAUCCUUCUUCAUUGAGGUGGUGAGUGGUAUUGGAUCUUUUACUUUGAAAAAAUUAGAGUGUUUAAAGCAGGCUUACGCUGUGAAUACAUUAGCAUGGAAUAAUAAUUUAGGACUUCGGUCUCUAUUUUGUUGGUUUCUAGAGCUGAAGUAAUGAUUGAUAGGGAUAGUUGGGGGUGCUAGUAUUCAUCGGCCAGAGGUGAAAUUCUUGGAUUCGAUGAAGACUAACUUAUGCGAAAGCAUU